GAUGAACGCUGGCGGCGUGCUUAACACAUGCAAGUCGAACGGAAAGGCUCCUGCUUGCAGGGGUACUCGAGUGGCGAACGGGUGAGUAACACGUGGGUGAUCUGCCCUGCACUUCGGGAUAAGCCUGGGAAACUGGGUCUAAUACCGGAUAGGACGAUGGUUUGGAUGCCAUUGUGGAAAGUUUUUCGGUUUGGGAUUGGCUCGCGGCCUAUCAGCUUGUUGGUGGGGUAAUGGCCUACGAAGGCGUCGACGGGUAGCCGGCCUGAGAGGGUGUACGGCCACAUUGGGAAUGAGAGACGGACCAGACUGCAACGGGAGGCAGCAGUGGGGAAUAUUGCACAAUGGGCGCAAGCAUGAUGCAGCGACGCCGCGUGGGGGAUGACGGCCUUCGGGUUGUAAACACCUUUCGAUAGGGACGAAGCGAAAGUGACGGUACCUGGAGAAGAAGCACCGGCUAACUACGUG
rnacentral:rRNA from 1 species